rnacentral:lncRNA from 1 species
GGCCUUGAUGGUGAUAAUGUCAUCAUUUCCGGCGCACUUCAGCAUCUUGGACAUGUUAUUGAGAUUCAUUCCCAUGGAGAUGUUCCGAUCGCAGCGGUAGUGCUCGAAGCCCUCCGAUCUGAGGAGCAGAGCAACAAGGGCUACGUGGCUGGAAUCCAUAGCCUGGAGAGAGAAUCCGGUGGCGGAGCAGUCGAAGUUGGCAUCGUUAACCAGGUCCUUGAUCGCCUCUAGAACCUUCUUUAGAAGGCUCCCCUGAACCAGCCUCAACUCCAGCAUCUUAUUCUCCUUCUGCUUUGCCUUCUACGGUCUAGGGUUAGGGUUUUGAAAGAGAGGAAAAAGAGUGGGAAAGUGAGGAAAACAGAGGAAUUAGUUAUUAUAUAAUGGGUGUAGGUUGUGAUUGGCGGGAAGGUUUGGAAGUGACUUUUAGUUCCCGCCACGUUUCUGGAAAACCCUUGGCUUCCCCCUCAAUCUUCAUCCUCUCUUUUUGAAUUUUUAUUUAAAUUUUUUUUAUAAUAAAAUGAAAAUAGAAGAAAUUUUAAAUUUAUAUCAUCAAAUAAGUAAACACUAGUACUAUUUAUUUUUAUUUCUUUACAACAAUAUAAAGAUGUAAGUUUACCAUAAAAUAAUGAAAAAUAAUAAUAAUAAUUAGAUAAAAAUUUACAUAUUUUUAUUUAAUCUUUGUAAAAAUAAUUUAUUAAAUUUAAAUAUAUAUUUUUGUUUUUUAUUUCCUUUUAUUUUUUAUUUCUAUUUUCUUUCCAAAUUAUUUUAAUUUGAAAUUUUCAAUAGCCAAAAUCAAAUGUAGGGUCAAUAAAUAAUAUAAAAUUUUUCCAAAAAGUUUCCUAAUUACUUAAAAUCAUAACCUAAAACGUAACUAAUUUACAUUUAAUAGAUUAUUUACAAAAGUUCAAAAAAAAAAAUAAUGAUUGGUAUGAGCUCCCAUCAAUUUUGAACAAAAAGAAACUCUGCCUUUAUUAGUCUAGAGUUUUUUUUUUUUGAAAAUUUGAGGUAAAUGAUUUUGGGAAAUUUUAUAAGAAAAUAAUGAAAAAACAAAAAAAUACAAAAAUUUAUUUGAUUAUAAAAAAAAAAUUGAUUAUUGAAAAACACACUUCUUUUCAAAACUUUCUCACAUAUUUAAAAAUAAUAAUUUAGGGAAAUUUUUUAAUAUUUUCUUCAUUUUUUUUCCUUAAUUUUUUCUAGCUUCCAUCGUUUUCAUGUUGUCAAAUUUUUUUUUAAAUGAAAUAAAAUAAAAUAAAAUAAUUAAUUUUAUUAACAUUUUUACCAUUUGUUUGCUACUUUCCUCGGAAUCAAUUUGGCUAAAUGUAUAGACUAUUUGCGGAUUAAUAUUUUCUCUUCCACUUCGAUGAUUAAAGCGUCCUUACUUCACAAUUUAAUCUUCAUGCGGAACUGGGCCUAGUUCAUUAAUUUAUUUUGGGCCCAUGCCCGGGUAAGGUUGAAUAGUAAUUAGAGAAUUUACUUUGUGAAAGCCGUAUGGUUUCUGUUCUUGGCUUUUGUAAUUUAAAGACCACAAUUUGUGGGUCUCUAUGAUAACUAUUAUGAAAAAAUAGAAAAAAAAAAAUUGUUUCCAAUGAAAAAUAGAAAAAAAAAAUUGUUUCCAAAUAACAUCUUUUACUGUGUCUUCAAUUUUAAUAAUUAUUUAAAAAUAUAAUUAUAUAAAUAUAAAAAAUAUUAAAAAUAAAACACUAUAUUUAAAAUUAUUUAAAAUAAUAAUAAUUUUCAAAAAAUGUUUUUCAAAACACUUUCCAAACAAAAUUUAUAUUUUUAUUCUCAAAUAUCUAAAUUUAUUUCCAUAAAAUUCUAUUUGCUCCAUUGCAGAGGCCCUUCCUUGUUUAUUAUUCUAAACCUAAAGUGAAUACAAUUAGAUGGAAACAAUAUAUUUGGGUAUAAAAACUAAUAGAUGAUGGGUUGUGAACAUGUAAGACUAUAAUGGAUUGAAUACAAUUUCCAAUUUGAAAAUUAAAAAUACAACUAAAAAAAUAAAAUUCUAUUUUCAUUAAGAUUAUGAUUCAGAAAUUUUUAUUUAAUUAGAAUAAUUUUCAAAUAAAUCUAAUCUAUUCUAGACCUAGGGCUUCGGCUAAGUCUUCUAUCUUGGGUGCCAAGUAGAACCUGAUAUAACCCAUCUCUGCAAUUGUGUACUCAACCGCCAAAAGCAACUCUGAGGUCAAGCUGAUUGUAACCGUGUUUGAUAAUGGGGUGGCUUUUGUGAAGGAGUUCAUGUAUCUCAGUGGAAAUUGCGAUGAAACUGGUUGACUCAUCUCUAUCACUGUUGAUUCCUCCGGCUGCAAUCACCCAAAACAGACAAUCAUCUACAUUUGAUCCCCAUCACAAUCCAAGUCAUUAAGCUUUAAGAGCAUUACCUUGUCCACGUUAAUAUUCUGCCUGCAAACAAUAUUUGCAGUUCCAAUAUCACCUCGCGUUGAGAACUGCACACCCUCGUUUGUCACAGAGAUGACAACUGCAAGCACCAAACAUGUCACCAAAUUGAGAUAAAUGGACUACAUCUUAGAUACCCAGGAAUAUACCUGUGUCACCAAUGCUACUGAGAACUUUACAAAUCCUUUGGAACUCAGACGAAGGCAUCCGAACAACAGCGCAGCAUUUUGAUUCAUCAAUCCCAUGGUGCUCACUAUCAAUGUCCAUCAGGUUCAUCUCAAAAUUUGCACUCCCAUCUUGGGUUUUAGCACAUUCAUCAAAACAAACCGUCAGAAAUGAAAUUAGAAAGUUUUUAAAAAAUAUACGACAAUAUCUAUAAAGUAGAAAAACCAAAGAAAAGAGUCUUUCUAUAAUGCCAAAAAUACUUGACCAAAUAAUUUUAUAAUGCCCCAUGAAUUGGAGGGAUCUUUUUCUCUUCCUGAUUUCUGGAAUCAUUAUCAUUACAAAAUAAACAUUAGAAAUUACGGCCAUGUUUCUUAAAAUUUAUUUUUAAAAAUUGUUUUAUAAACAACAAAAAAACAAUUUUUUGUUGUUUUUUAAAAUCAAGAGUGUUUGAUAAGAUGCUUUAAAAAAUAAUUUUUAAAAACAGAAGAACAAAAACCUGUAUUGCUUUUAAAAACAAUAAAGAAAGUAUGAUAUUGUUUUUAAAAAUUGUAACUUAAAAACAAUUCCCAACCAUAUAAAAAAAUUUAAAGACUAUUUAAACCAAACCAAUGCUGAAGCCUACUUUUCAUGAACAUCCUAAAGACACUAACAGAACAGAAAAUAAAGGGAAAAAGUUAACAUACUAGGGCUUUCAAACAUGAAGGUGACAGUAUCACUGCCGUCAUCGGCCCUGAUGGUGAUGAUGUCAUCAUUCCCGCCGCACUUCAGAAUCUUGGACAUGUUAUUGAGGUUCAUGCCCAUAGAGAUGUUCCGAUCGCAGCGGUAGUGCUCGAAGCCAUCCGGUCUGAGGAGCAGAGCCACAAGGGCCACGUGGCUGGGAUCCAUGGCCUGGAGAGAGAAUCCGGUGGCAGAGCAGUCGAAGUUGGCAUCGUUGACCAGGUCCUUGAUCGCCUCUAGAACCUUCUUCAGAAGGCUCCCCUGAACCAGCCUCAACUC